CGCGGCCUAUCAGCUUGUUGGUGGGGUAAUGGCCUACCAAGGCGACGACGGGUAGCCGGCCUGAGAGGGCGACCGGCCACACUGGGACUGAGACACGGCCCAGACUCCUACGGGAGGCAGCAGUGGGGAAUAUUGCACAAUGGGCGGAAGCCUGAUGCAGCGACGCCGCGUGAGGGAUGACGGCCUUCGGGUUGUAAACCUCCUUCAGUAGGGACGAAGCGCGAGUGACGGUACCUACAGAAGAAGCGCCGGCCAACUACGUGCCAGCAGCCGCGGUAAGACGUAGGGCGCGAGCGUUGUCCGGAUUUAUUGGGCGUAAAGAGCUCGUAGGCGGCUUGUCGCGUCGGCUGUGAAAUCCCGUGGCUCAACUGCGGGUCUGCAGCCGAUACGGGCAGGCUAGAGUUCGGUAGGGGAGACUGGAAUUCCUGGUGUAGCGGUGAAAUGCGCAGAUAUCAGGAGGAACACCGAUGGCGAAGGCAGGUCUCUGGGCCGAUACUGACGCUGAGGAGCGAAAGCGUGGGGAGCGAACAGGAUUAGAUACCCUGGUAGUCCACGCUGUAAACGUUGGGCGCUAGGUGUGGGGGACCUCUCCGGUUCUCUGUGCCGCAGCUAACGCAUUAAGCGCCCCGCCUGGGAGUACGGA
rnacentral:rRNA from 1 species